rnacentral:misc_RNA from 1 species
AUAUAUAUCAACCCUCUUCUUUUUGUUGAGUGGUUUGGAUGUGGGGGUUUUGCUGGCCUUUUGAAGGGUCGGCUCUCCUGAAAUGCAUUAGCAGAACAAACCUGUUUCAUUGGUGUGAUAACUAUCUACGCUAUUGAAUUAAAGGCAGUUCAGCUUCCUAACAGUCUUUGGACAAUUUUAUCAUUU